rnacentral:rRNA from 1 species
GGAUUUAGUCCCUUCGCGGAUCGCCCAGUAACACGUCGAUAAUCUGCCCUUGUGUCGGGGAUAAUCUUGGGAAACUGAGGAUAAUACCUGAUAUGUGAUGGAGCCUGGAACUGGUUUAUCAUUAAAAGUUUUAACAUACAAGGAUGAGUUGGCGGCUGAUUAGGUAGUUGGCGGGGUAACGGCCCACCAAGCCGACGAUCAGUAAGGGCCAUGAGAGUGGGGGCCCUGGGAGGGUCACUGAGAAACUGGACCCAGCCCUAAGGGGUGCAGCAGGCGCGAAACCUCUUCAAUGCACGACAGUGUGAAAGGGGAAUCCUACGUGCUUAUGUAAUUCAUAGGCUUUUGCACAGUGUAAAUAGCUGCGCGAAUAAGGGGUGGGCAAGACCGGUGCCAGCAGCCGCGGUAACACCGGCGCCCCGGGUGGCAAUCGCAUUUAUUGGGCCUAAAGCAUCCGUAGCCGGGUGUGUAAAUCCUUUGUGAAAUCUCUCUGCUUAACAGAGAGGCGUGCAGGGGACACUGCACAUCUAGGGACCGGGAGGGGUCAGAGGUAUUCUGGGGGGAGCGGUAAAAUGUUUUGAUCCUCGGAGGACCACCGAUGGCGAAAGCAUCUGACCAGAACGGAUCUGACGGUGAGGGAUGAAGGCUAGGGGAGCAAAACGGAUUAGAUACCCGAGUAGUCCUAGCUGUAAACGCUGUAUGCAAGGUGUUGCGUAUCUUUGUGGAUGCGCAGUAUCGAAGAGAAGUCGUUAAGCAUACCGCCUGGGAAGUACGGUCGCAAGACUGGAACUUAAAGGAAUUGGCGGGGGAGCACCACAAGGGGUGCGGCGUGCGGUUUAAUCUAACUUAACGCAGAGAAUCUCACCAGGGGCGACAGCAAGAUGAAGAUCAGUCUAAAGGGCUUAUUGGAUGAGCUGAGAGGUAGUGCAUGGCCGUCGUCAGCUCGUGCCGUAAGGUGUCCUGUUAAGUCAGGCAACGAGCGAGACCUGUGUCCACAAUUGCCAGCGAUUUCUACGGAAAGAUCGGGAACAUUGUGGGGACUGCCGGGGAAACCCGGAGGAAGGUGCAGGCUACGGUAGGUCUGUAUGCUCCGAAUCUCCUGGGCUACACGCGCGCAACAAUGGUAUGGACAAUGGGACACUACUCCGAAAGGAGACGUUAAGCCUCGAAACCAUGCCCAAGUACAGAUUGCGGACUGUAACUCGUCCGCAUGACGCUGGAAUCCCUAGUAAUCGGAAGUCAACAU